GCCGCGUGAGUGAAGAAGGCUCUGGGUUGUAAAGCUCUUUUGUAGGGGAAGAUAAUGACUGUACCCUAAGAAUAAGGUCCGGCUAACUUCGUGCCAGCAGCCGCGGUAAUACGAAGGGACCUAGCGUAGUUCGGAAUUACUGGGCGUAAAGCGCGCGUAGGCCGUUGAGUUAGUUAAUUGUGAAAUCCCAAAGCUUAACUUUGGAACUGCAAUUAAAACUGCUCGACUAGAGUUUGAUAGAGGAAAGCGGAAUACAUAGUGUAGAGGUGAAAUUCGUAGAUAUUAUGUAGAACACCAGUUGCGAAGGCGGCUUUCUGGGUCAACACUGACGCUGAGGCGCGAAAGUAUGGGUAGCAAAGAGGAUUAGAUACCCUCGUAGUCCAUACCAUUAAA
rnacentral:rRNA from 1 species